CUCUCUCUAACUUCUCUCUAGCCUCCCUAAACCCCUCCCAAGUCUACGGAACCUCCCUAGCAUGAGAAGAAAGCCCCGGAGCGCCCGACGGCUCCGAGAAGAAAAGCUUUCGGCUUGGAAACGCUGCUCCAGCGAAGCCCGGUUUUUAAUAAAAACUCGCUGUUUUGUCGAGGAAAAUUGUUUUGAGAUAACGAAGUGCUGUCUGAGUUCGGAAUCACCACCUAAUCAGGUGUUGAUAUGAAGUGACAUUACACUGAGAGAUUUAAAGAGAUGUAGAUCACUAGUGUAAAUAAUUGUAAGUUCUGUUUAUGCUUAUGUUUCUGUAUUAACGAUGACAUCCCAAACGUUUUAAAAUGAAAUAAAUACGUUUCUUCGAAAAUGUUUUAAUAACGUAUUUACCAUGUUUUUCUGGGAACAAAUUCCGCAACAUUUUUAUAAAAUGAAGUACUCUGAUUUUUAUAAAGCAUAAACAACAUCGGUCUUUUUUGGCCGUGAAAAUGGGGAUGUCACACACACCCCUCUCUCUCAAGAUUCCAACUCUCUCUACAUCUCUUCUUUUUCUGUUUCUAUUUCUCUCUUUCUUUCUCCGUCUAUUUGGUCUCUAUCUCUCGUACCCCCUAUUCUCUCUCUCUCUCUCUCUCUCUCUCACACAGGACUCCAACUUUUCGGCAAACCUGAACAAAAAAAGGAAGAACAGAUCAACAACCUGGACAUAAAUGGGAUAAGGAUUUGUCACCACAUAUUAUCGGUAGUAAGGUCAAAUGGUCAAAGAAUAUGAGAUAGGUACGACGUGGUAUCUGAUGAUAAAGAUGAUCGGGGUAAGGAAAUAGAUGGUAAGAGAAAGGGAUGGGUAGACCCCAAAUUGUCGUCAUCAUCUGAAGUGUCAAGAUCCAAACCCUAGAUUGUCAUUGUAUGCUUUCAUCUUUUAUGAUGUGCAUCUAAAAUAGCGACAGUCACCAUAGUCAUCUGGAUUUUUUAUGCAUUUACUUGGAUUUACAGAAAGAUUUAGGAUUUUCGAGAUUGUUUUGAUGCAAUUUUCUAGGUUUACAAAAAUAUUUAGGAUUUUCGAGAUUGUUUUGAUGUAAUUUUUUGGGUUUUGUUGGGAUUUUUCUUGGAUUAGGGUGUUAAUUUAUAGAUUUUUAAGCCUUUGCAUCCAAAUUUGCAUAUGUGGAACCAUUUUUUAUUUUUUGGUUUCAUUUAGUUUGGCGAAGUUGAGAAAGUGGAGGUGGUU